rnacentral:rRNA from 1 species
UACAGAGGUGGCAAGCGUUGUUCGGAAUUACUGGGCGUAAAGGGCGCGUAGGCGGCCUACUAAGUCAGACGUGAAAUCCCUCGGCUUAACCGGGGAACUGCGUCUGAUACUGGAUGGCUGGAGUGUGGGAGAGGGAUGCGGAAUUCCAGGUGUAGCGGUGAAAUGCGUAGAUAUCUGGAGGAACACCGGUGGCAAAGGCGGCAUCCUGGACCAUUACUGACACUGAAAAGCGAAAGCCAGGGGAGCAAACGGG